rnacentral:rRNA from 1 species
CACGGCCCAGACUCCUACGGGAGGCAGCAGUAGGGAAUCUUCCGCAAUGGACGAAAGUCUGACGGAGCAACGCCGCGUGUAUGAAGAAGGUUUUCGGAUCGUAAAGUACUGUUGUUAGAGAAGAACAAGGAUAAGAGUAACUGCUUGUCCCUUGACGGUAUCUAACCAGAAAGCCACGGCUAACUACGUGCCAGCAGCCGCGGUAAUACGUAGGUGGCAAGCGUUGUCCGGAUUUAUUGGGCGUAAAGCGCGCGCAGGCGGUCUUUUAAGUCUGAUGUGAAAGCCCCCGGCUUAACCGGGGAGGGUCAUUGGAAACUGGAAGACUGGAGUGCAGAAGAGGAGAGUGGAAUUCCACGUGUAGCGGUGAAAUGCGUAGAUAUGUGGAGGAACACCAGUGGCGAAGGCGACUCUCUGGUCUGUAACUGACGCUGAGGCGCGAAAGCGUGGGGAGCAAACAGGAUU